UGCAAGUCGAGUGCGCGCUUGUAGCAAUACAGGUGGCGCACGGCGCACGGGUGCGUAACACGUGGGCAAUCUGCCCUUCGAUGGGGAAUAACCCCGGGAAACCGGGGCUAAUUCCGCAUAACAUUCCGGGAACCUCGGUUCCUGGAUUCAAAGGCGUAAGUCGUCGAAGGAGGAGCCCGCGCACGAUUAGCUAGUUGGCAGGGUAACGGCCUACCAAGGCUUUGAUCGUUAGCUGGUCUGAGAGGAUGGCCAGCCACACUGGAACUGAGACACGGUCCAGACUCCUACGGGAGGCAGCAGUGGGGAAUCUUGCACAAUGGGCGAAAGCCUGAUGCAGCGACGCCGCGUGGGGGAUGAAGCUUUUCGGAGUGUAAACCCCUUUCGACCCGGACGAAUGCCCCGCAAGGGGACUGACGGUACGGGUAUAAGAAGCCCCGGCUAACUACGUGCCAGCAGCCGCGGUAAUACGUAGGGGGCCAGCGUUGCUCGGAAUUACUGGGUGUAAAGGGUUCGUAGGCGGUGCGGCAAGUUGGGAGUGAAAUCUCUGGGCUUAACUCAGAGGCUGCUUUCAAAACUGCUGUGCUUGAGUGUGGGAGAGGCGCGUGGAAUUGCAGGUGUAGCGGUGAAAUG
rnacentral:rRNA from 1 species